AGAAAGCGAGAUCCGAGGAGUCCAGCUGCCCCCCUGACGCCGUUUUGAUUGGAUGGUCUUUUCAUGUAGAGGGGACGUCUCAAGUCGAAGUCACGAUUUCUGCUCAGUUUGGAACCAUCUGUGACUGGAGCCAUGACGCAGCCAGCGCACAUUACUCACUUUUACAGUCACGACUUGGAAAUCCGUGCAGUUUCCAACCAAAAUUACACCGCCACCAUUGAAUUAUUUAAUAGGAUCCAGUUAAGGGAUCCGCAACUGUCGCUGGGCUUGGAGUGGUAUAGAAAUAAGUCUGCGGCUAAAAGACCCCCCACCCCCACCCCCAUCUGGUCGGGAAUUAAUUUCCUCUUCCUUCUCAUGUUAAGGAGAAUGGGUUGAUGCAUGGUCUUUAUGAAGUGGGCUUUAAAAACAACCAACCAACCACCAAAACACAACCACCACCAUGCACCAGUUUAACAUUAUGCACCAACGUGGGGUUCUGGCAGGGAAGCUUGUUUUGCCGAGAGAGACAGAGCGAUGGUUGCAUACACUGGAUGCACAAAGAAAGGGUUUUCUUUAAUUCUCUCCACCCCACUCAAUGCUUUUUUUUAAAAAAAACACAAAUUCCUUUGUUUGGAGAAUAAAGAAGCUU